rnacentral:rRNA from 1 species
AUUGAACGCUGGCGGCAUGCUUUACACAUGCAAGUCGAACGGCAGCACGGGGGCAGCCCUGGUGGCGAGUGGCGAACGGGUGAGUAACAUAUCGGAACAUAUCCGCAAGUGGGGGAUAACGUAGCGAAAGUUACGCUAAUACCGCAUAUACCCUGAGGGGGAAAGGAGGGGAUCGCAAGACCUUUCGCUUACGGAGUGGCCGAUAUCAGAUUAGCUAGUUGGUGGGGUAAAGGCCCACCAAGGCGACGAUCUGUAGCGGGUCUGAGAGGAUGAUACGCCACACUGGGACUGAGACACGGCCCAGACUCCUACGGGAGGCAGCAGUGGGGAAUUUUGGACAAUGGGCGCAAGCCUGAUCCAGCCAUGCCGCGUGAGUGAAGAAGGCCUUCGGGUUGUAAAGCUCUUUCAGCCGGAAAAAAAUCGCACUAUCUAAUACAUAGUGUGGAUGAUGGUACCGGAAGAAGAAGCACCGGCUAACUACGUGCCAGCCGCCGCCGUAAUAC